AUGAACGCUAGCGGCAGGCUUAACACAUGCAAGUCGAGGGGCAACACGGGUAGCAAUACCUGGUGGCGACCGGCGCAAGGGUGCGUAACGCGUGAGCAACAUGCCCUAUACAGGGGGAUAAUCCAGGGGAAACUUGGUCUAAUAUCCCAUAGUAUUUAGAGGUGGCAUCACCACUAAAUUAAAGCUUCGGUGGUAUAGGAUUGGCUCGCGUGACAUUAGCUGGAUGGUGGGGUAACGGCUCACCAUGGCGAUGAUGUCUAGGGGUUCUGAGAGGAAGACCCCCCACACUGGGACUGAGACACGGCCCAGACUCCUACGGGAGGCAGCAGUGAGGAAUAUUGGACAAUGGAUGGAAAUCUGAUCCAGCCAUGCCGCGUGCAGGAAGACGGCCCUAUGGGUUGUAAACUGCUUUUAUAUGGGAGCAAUAAGGUUUACGCGUAGACCGAUGAGAGUACCAUAUGAAUAAGCAUCGGCUAACUCCGUG
rnacentral:rRNA from 1 species